UACAGAGGUCUCAAGCGUUGUUCGGAUUCAUUGGGCGUAAAGGGUGCGUAGGCGGCGCGGUAAGUCGGAUGUGAAAUCUCGGAGCUUAACUUCGAAACUGCAUUCGAUACUGCCGUGCUUGAGGACUGGAGAGGAGACUGGAAUUUACGGUGUAGCGGUGAAAUGCGUAGAUAUCGUAAGGAAGACCAGUGGCGAAGGCGGGUCUCGUGGACAGUUCCUGACGCUGAGGCACGAAGGUCAGGGGAGCAAACGGG
rnacentral:rRNA from 1 species